rnacentral:piRNA from 1 species
UUAUCGAGUCAAAAUAAGUCA